GCUUUUUAUAUUUUAAUUUUUGAUUUAAUGCCAUAUAAUAAUCAUGUAAUAAGAUCUUAGAUCUAGAGAUUUUCUGAUUUUAUAAGAUAAAUUUUGAUUUAUUUUAGUCUUCCACUGCCUGAUCUUGAAAAAGUUUCAAUAUCUAACCCUAAAAUCCUAGAUCUGGUUCCUUUAGGUUAACCAUCAAUCGAAUUGACGAUUAAGCCCUUGAAUGAUUCUCAAUCAUUGAUCAGCCACAUGAUCAGUCAGAAACUUCUUUUGAGUGUGACCCCAUAGGUUCGAAUCUAAGCCGGU
rnacentral:lncRNA from 1 species